GACGGAGGAUGCAAGUGUUAUCCGGAAUCACUGGGCGUAAAGCGUCUGUAGGUGGUUUAAAAAGUCUAUUGUUAAAAAUUGAAGCUUAACUUCAAAGAUGCAAUGGAAACUUUUAAACUUGAGUAUGGUAGGGGUAGAGGGAAUUUCCAGUGGAGCGGUGAAAUGCGUAGAUAUUGGAAAAGACCACCAAUGGCGAAGGCACUCUACUGGGCCAUUACUGACACUGAGAGACGAAAGCUAGGGGAGCAAAUGGGA
rnacentral:rRNA from 1 species